rnacentral:rRNA from 1 species
GACGAACGCUGGCGGCGUGCUUAACACAUGCAAGUCGAACGGAAAGGCCCUGCUUUUGUGGGGUGCUCGAGUGGCGAACGGGUGAGUAACACGUGAGUAACCUGCCCUUGACUUUGGGAUAACUUCAGGAAACUGGGGCUAAUACCGGAUAGGAGCUCCUGCUGCAUGGUGGGGGUUGGAAAGUUUCGGCGGUUGGGGAUGGACUCGCGGCUUAUCAGCUUGUUGGUGGGGUAGUGGCUUACCAAGGCUUUGACGGGUAGCCGGCCUGAGAGGGUGACCGGCCACAUUGGGACUGAGAUACGGCCCAGACUCCUACGGGAGGCAGCAGUGGGGAAUAUUGCACAAUGGGCGGAGGCCUGAUGCAGCAACGCAGCGUGCGGGAUGACGGCCUUCGGGUUGUAAACCGCUUUCGCCUGUGACGAAGCGUGAGUGACGGUAAUGGGUAAAGAAGCACCGGCUAACUACGUG